ACGAACGCUGGCGGCGUGCCUAAUACAUGCAAGUAGAACGCUGAAGAGAGGAGCUUGCUCUUCUUGGAUGAGUUGCGAACGGGUGAGUAACGCGUAGGUAACCUGCCUUGUAGCGGGGGAUAACUAUUGGAAACGAUAGCUAAUACCGCAUAACAAUGGAUGACACAUGUCAUUUAUUUGAAAGGGGCAAUUGCUCCACUACAAGAUGGACCUGCGUUGUAUUAGCUAGUAGGUGAGGUAACGGCUCACCUAGGCGACGAUACAUAGCCGACCUGAGAGGGUGAUCGGCCACACUGGGACUGAGACACGGCCCAGACUCCUACGGGAGGCAGCAGUAGGGAAUCUUCGGCAAUGGGGGCAACCCUGACCGAGCAACGCCGCGUGAGUGAAGAAGGUUUUCGGAUCGUAAAGCUCUGUUGUAAGUCAAGAACGAGUGUGAGAGUGGAAAGUUCACACUGUGACGGUAGCUUACCAGAAAGGGACGGCUAACUACGUGCCAGCAGCCGCGGUAAUACGUAGGUCCCGAGCGUUGUCCGGAUUUAUUGGGCGUAAAGCGAGCGCAGGCGGUUUGAUAAGUCUGAAGUUAAAGGCUGUGGCUCAACCAUAGUUCGCUUUGGAAACUGUCAAACUUGAGUGCAGAAGGGGAGAGUGGAAUUCCAUGUGUAGCGGUGAAAUGCGUAGAUAUAUGGAGGAACACCGGUGGCGAAAGCGGCUCUCUGGUCUGUAACUGACGCUGAGGCUCGAAAGCGUGGGGAGCGAACAGGAUUAGAUACCCUGGUAGUCCACGCCGUAAACGAUGAGUGCUAGGUGUUGGAUCCUUUCCGGGAUUCAGUGCCGCAGCUAACGCAUUAAGCACUCCGCCUGGGGAGUACGACCGCAAGGUUGAAACUCAAAGGAAUUGACGGGGGCCCGCACAAGCGGUGGAGCAUGUGGUUUAAUUCGAAGCAACGCGAAGAACCUUACCAGGUCUUGACAUCCCGAUGCUAUUUCUAGAGAUAGAAAGUUACUUCGGUACAUCGGUGACAGGUGGUGCAUGGUUGUCGUCAGCUCGUGUCGUGAGAUGUUGGGUUAAGUCCCGCAACGAGCGCAACCCCUAUUGUUAGUUGCCAUCAUUCAGUUGGGCACUCUAGCGAGACUGCCGGUAAUAAACCGGAGGAAGGUGGGGAUGACGUCAAAUCAUCAUGCCCCUUAUGACCUGGGCUACACACGUGCUACAAUGGUUGGUACAACGAGUUGCGAGUCGGUGACGGCAAGCUAAUCUCUUAAAGCCAAUCUCAGUUCGGAUUGUAGGCUGCAACUCGCCUACAUGAAGUCGGAAUCGCUAGUAAUCGCGAAUCAGCAUGUCGCGGUGAAUACGUUCCCGGGCCUUGUACACACCGCCCGUCACACCACGAGAGUUUGUAACACCCGAAGUCGGUGAGGUAACCUUUUGGAGCCAGCCGCCUAAGGUGGGAUAGAUGAUUGGGGUG
rnacentral:rRNA from 1 species